ACAAACAGCUGCUGCCCUUCAGAGCUAUUGACCUAGAGAUUCCUCACCUUGCUGCUUAGUGAUGUUACCUAGACAUGUUAAGAUCCCUCUUGUUAGGAAUUCCAUGAAGCCUGAAAAUGAAGCCAGCGUAGUGGAGAAUGAAGAGACAGAGUUUUGAUUACAAGGUUUGAACCGUUUAACUGAGAUCCGCCUCUGCAGGCUAUCCAUGGACUUUUAAAUUAUGUUUUUGAGACAUCUGUGGACAAAACAAAGUGCCCUGCCCUCAAGGGAGCCCACAUUCUAACAGAGCAUAUUGACAUUUUUAAAAGAUAGAUGGGGUCUCACUAUGUUGUCCAGGCUGACCUGGAACUCCUGGGCUGAAGCGAUCCUCCAACCUUGGCCUCUCAAAGUUCUGGGAUUAUAGACUUUGCCAACCCCAAUGCAUUGCACCUCUCAUUGCAUGUGAAUGAUGGCUCCUGUUCUAUUCUCUCACCUUCCAACACCAUGAAGUCCAUGCCAGCUGGUCAGUUGCUAAGAAAACUACCUAUGGUUACCAAGAAGGACCUCCAGGAAACUUCAGAUUGCCCAAGGAUCACUAUAAGAAGAUAGAGAUUCCUUCUGCCAUCAGAUGUCUUUCUGCUUGACUGAACUGCACCUGUGGUCUUUGAAGAAUACCUUACACAUUGCGGAUAGAGACAUUGGGAUCUACCAGUAUUAUGACAAGAAAGAUCCACCAGCACGAGAUUAUCCUUGGACGCUCAAAAACAGACGCCCAGAAAAACUCCGAGACUCGCUCAAAGAGUUGGAGGAGCUGAUGCAAAACAGUCGGUGUGUGCUGAGCAAAUGGAAGAACAAAUAUGUCUGUCAG
rnacentral:lncRNA from 1 species